GGGGAAUAUUGGACAAUGGGGGGAACCCUGAUCCAGCCAUGCCGCGUGUGUGAAGAAGGCCUUUUGGUUGUAAAGCACUUUAAGCGAGGAGGAGGCUCUUCUAGUUAAUACCUAGGAUGAGUGGACGUUACUCGCAGAAUAAGCACCGGCUAACUCUGUGCCAGCAGCCGCGGUAAUACAGAGGGUGCGAGCGUUAAUCGGAUUUACUGGGCGUAAAGCGUACGUAGGCGGCUUUUUAAGUCGGAUGUGAAAUCCCUGAGCUUAACUUAGGAAUUGCAUUCGAUACUGGGAAGCUAGAGUAUGGGAGAGGAUGGUAGAAUUCCAGGUGUAGCGGUGAAAUGCGUAGAGAUCUGGAGGAAUACCGAUGGCGAAGGCAGCCAUCUGGCCUAAUACUGACGCUGAGGUACGAAAGCAUGGGGAACAAAC
rnacentral:rRNA from 1 species